GCCAGCAGCCAUAUCACCCUGCAGCUCACCACUGGCAGCCCACUGCAGCUCAGCAGUUUGAGCCUGGUCAGUACCUGGAUGGGAGACUCCUGGGAAAGCUAAGGUUGCUGCUGGAA
rnacentral:rRNA from 1 species